UAGAGUUUGAUCCUGGCUCAGAACGAACGCUGGCGGCAUGCCUAACACAUGCAAGUCGAACGAUGCCUUCGGGCAUAGUGGCGCACGGGUGCGUAACGCGUGGGAAUCUGCCUUUAGGUUCGGAAUAACUCCUCGAAAGGGGUGCUAAUACCGGAUGAUGUCGAAAGACCAAAGAUUUAUCGCCUGAAGAUGAGCCCGCGUGAGAUUAGCUAGUUGGUGGGGUAAAGGCCUACCAAGGCGACGAUCUCUAGCUGGUCUGAGAGGAUGAUCAGCCACACUGGGACUGAGACACGGCCCAGACUCCUACGGGAGGCAGCAGUGGGGAAUAUUGGACAAUGGGCGAAAGCCUGAUCCAGCAAUGCCGCGUGAGUGAUGAAGGCCUUAGGGUUGUAAAGCUCUUUUACCCGGGAAGAUAAUGACUGUACCGGGAGAAUAAGCUCCGGCUAACUCCGUGCCAGCAGCCGCGGUAAUACGGAGGGAGCUAGCGUUGUUCGGAAUUACUGGGCGUAAAGCGCACGUAGGCGGCUUUGUAAGUCAGAGGUGAAAGCCUGGAGCUCAACUCCAGAACUGCCUUUGAGACUGCAUCGCUUGAAUCCGGGAGAGGUGAGUGGAAUUCCGAGUGUAGAGGUGAAAUUCGUAGAUAUUCGGAAGAACACCAGUGGCGAAGGCGGCUCACUGGACCGGUAUUGACGCUG
rnacentral:rRNA from 1 species